rnacentral:rRNA from 1 species
GAUGAACGCUGGCGGCGUGCCUAACACAUGCAAGUCGAACGGAAAGACGCGAAGGUUGCUUCUCUGAUGUUAGCGGCGGGAGGGAGAGUAACACGUGUAUCCCCUAGCUGUAAGAAUGGGAUCAAUUCGUGAAACAGGAGCUCAUACGAUCUGAUAUUUUGAACCGCGUGGUUCGAAGGAGAAUUACGGUCUUGCUGUUUCUUAUAGCUGGUUCCGCGCUGGAUUAGCUAGUUGGUAAGGUAACGGCCUACCAAGGCAACGAUGCAUAGCCGAGCUGAGAGGGUGAUCGGCCACACUGGAACUGAGACACGGUCCAGACUCCUACGGGAGGCAGCAGUAGGGAAUCUUCCGCAAUGGGCGAAAGCCUGACGGAGCAACGCCGCGUGAGGGAUGAAGGUCUUCGGAUCGUAAAACUCUGUUAGUAGGGAAGAACAGAUGUGUGAGAAAACGGGGAGAUAUUGACGGUACCUAAAGAGAAAGCAACGGCUAACUACGUG